UCAAGGAUAGGUACGAUCAACUCAAUGAAGAGGUGUCAGACCUUGGCGUGGGACUUGAUUUCCUAGUUCCUACGUUGGUCUUGGAUGAAGAAGAAAUGUUAAGAUAUGUCAUAGGGGUCAGGCCAAAUCCACACGGCAAGAGCUAGACUGAGGCAAAAAGGAUUCUAACAACAUGCAUUAUCGGGUUGUUGAUAUACUACUCGAGGAGGGAAAGAUCAAUGUUUAUGACUUCAACGUACCUCUCAUCGACUAUUUCGAUCUUUUUAUCCUUGUAAAGCCACUGAUGAUGUUGUUGUACAUCUUGUUGAGGGA
rnacentral:lncRNA from 1 species